UACGGAGGGUGCAAGCGUUGUCCGGAUUUAUUGGGUUUAAAGGGUGCGUAGGCGGCCCUAUAAGUCAGUGGUGAAAGCCCAUCGCUCAACGAUGGAACUGCCAUUGAUACUGUAGGGCUUGAGUACAGACGAGGUAGGCGGAAUUGAUGGUGUAGCGGUGAAAUGCAUAGAUACCAUCAAGAACACCGAUUGCGUAGGCAGCUUACUAGGCUGUAACUGACGCUGAGGCACGAAAGCGUGGGGAGCGAACAGGAUUAGAAACCCCCGUAGUCC
rnacentral:rRNA from 1 species